rnacentral:lncRNA from 1 species
CGACUUCGUGUGCUCCACGCGAGGGCCGCCUGACGCCAGAGUUUCUCCCGCAUCUGCCAUCAGAGGACCGUCGCCCUCAGGAGCCCGAGCUCCCGCGAAGCUUCAGAGCAGUAGUGCAUAGUGUAUGGAUACUACCCGCCCCCGAGCCUAGCAAAUUGCCUGGUGAGCGGCCAUCCUGGAUAAAUGGUGAAUGAUGACAUCCCAGUGGUCACUUCCACACACCACAGGCUUCUCCGAAAUUGGAGUUCCAGAAGCCAUCCUUGGAUAACAUCUCUAUAAUCUCCUGGGAGAAUCCUUCUUCGAAGAAAUCCUCCAUCAGAGGAGAGUUCUUGGUCUCAGUCACAUCUGAAAGAGCAAGUGCAAAUGUCUCCUGUUCACUAAGGGUGAGAACACAGACAAGAGCAAGUAGGGGUGAUAGAUCUUGAGUCCAGCCUAUCCAUCAAGGGACCCAAAGGGGUGACCCAUGUGGAACUGGCAUCACAGAAAACAGACAGAGCCCAUUCCCAGGAGGGUCAAGAAGGGAGUUGGGAAACCAUAGGGUUCAACGAGGAGGGAGAUUCUACCAUUACCUUCACACCUAAGUGACUGACCAAGUUCCCUAAAAAAUCGCCUGGACUCACCUGCUUCUACUCUCCACUCUAUCCUGUACUGUCACCAAAAUCUUCCUCCUCAUAUCCUGCAUCCUCUAUCCCAGACAACACCCCGCUCUCCCCACACCACCAUCCAUCCAGUUCUCCAUGCUAGAAUCCUGGGAGUCAACCUCCUCCCUACCUCCCUCAACUUGGCACUAUUUUCAUUUGGUCUCUAUCGAAAUGUCUCAACUCCCUUCCUCUCCUCUCUUUAUCACUGACUCAGCAUCUGACCCCAGGCUGCUCAUUGGUCUCCUGUUUGUCUGUCUCUCUCUCUCUCUAGUCUUCCACACUAGCCCUAAAGGGCUUUGUAGUUAAUGGAUCUGACUAUAUCACUCCUCUGAUUAAACCCUUCCAUGGCUUCCUGCCUGGAGAAAAGAAAUGAGUGUAUUAGCCCAGUGUUCUUUGUGCUGACCUCAUAGAACUCUUGCGGUUCCCUAAAUCCACCAGACUUUCUCCUCUGUGCCUUUAAUGGUCCCUCAUGCUGGAUGGCACUUCCUGGACUAACUCCUCUAAGUCUUUUAAUACCCAGCUUAUCACCCUUCUCUGAAAGGCUUCCCUGACAACCCCAUCCCCAUUCUGCUUUAAGUCCCCUGCCCUGUAUUCUCUGAAAACCAGCUGAGCACUGACCAUCCUCUACCAUAACAGGUUAUGAAAGGGUCUGACCCCUGACCCUUACCAGAAGGUAAGUUCUUUAAUGGGGACCUUCCACUGCUCAUCCAUCCACUGCCACAGAGGCGGCCACGAGAAAGAUUCACAGGACAGAGUAAUUCCCAUUCAUGGUAUGCUUGUUCACAGGCAGGAGUGCCUCAGGCACUCUGUUACACUCGACAACCUCCUGUAAGGUAGGCACGUUUCUGCUUUCUUACAGGUAAGUGAGCAGAAGACUGAGGAUUUGAACCCCUCUGACUAUAUAUAUAUAUAUAUAUAUAUAUAUUUUUUUUUUUUUUUUUGGAGACUGAGUCUUGCCCUGUUGCCCAGGCUGAAGUGCUGCACGAUCUCAGCUCAACGCAACCUCUGCCUCCUGGGUUCAAGUGAUUCUCCUGCCUCAGCCUCCCGAGUAGCUGGGACUGCAGGUGCCCUCCACCACGCCCAGCUAAUUUUUGUAUUUUUAGUAGAGACAGAGUUUCAGCAUGUUGGCCAGGCUGGUCUCGAACUCCUGACCUCAAGUGACCGGCCUGCCUCGCCCUCCCAAAGUGCUGGGAUUACAGGUAUGAGCCACCACGCCUGGCCCCCAUAUUCUUAACUACCAAGCUGUAUGCUCUCUGGGAUCCUUCACAAAACAUGAAUGUCACUGCUCUGCUGUAUGCCUCCAGUCUCCCCAUCUCUCCUCUCCUCCAUCAUCAUACCUUUUCCAGCCUGUCCCUUGUGCAGUUCUUGGCUCACCAUCUGAGUAUCUAUGAGACUGCUUAAAGUCUCUCUGCCUGGAAUUAAAACUUGCAAAUGAAAGCCUUCUGAAACCACAUCUUGUUCUGAAUUGUCACCUUUGCCUCUGCUCAUCUCUCCCACAGAUAUCCAGCUCACUCUCCUCACCACACUUGUGCUCAUGUUGUUCCCUCGGCCUCAAAUGCACCAACAGACAUGUAAUAGGCACCCCUUAUAUGCCAAGCAUGAUGUCAGGAGCUGGGAAUACAGGGUGAAUCAGCUAAGCCCUGCUUCCAAGAGCGGCAUGCUGUUAAAGGGGAAAGACGCUUAUGUGGUAACUAUGCAACUCAAGUGUCACUACUAGAGGAUAUGGAGGUAUAUUUGUUAGUAAAGGCAUGGCUACCUAUGUUUGGAAACAGCCAAUAUGCUGAGGUGACAGAAACAGAAAGCAGAAGUUGUGAGAGCCUGUGCAUGAGUUAGUCACCUAUGAGGAACACUGAUGUGCUGAAGAGGAGGCUGCAGAGGCCUCAUGUACACGAGCCUGAGCGUGGUGAGCCAAGAAGGGAGCUGCAGACUGACUGGAUGGGGUACAGCCUGAGAUUCCUGUGGUCUCUGGUUCAGGGCCCUGCUUCUCAUGCUGGGGACGUCUCUACCAUGGGUAAUACCCCAGGAAUCCUCACCACCUAACCUGAUCCACCUGGAGGAACCCCGGCUUGGGAGAUGGCAGGGCAGAUGCUCUUGGCAGCAUUCAGGCCUGGGCUUAAGUUACUCCCUGAUGUGGCCAUCUGCUAUGCCCCAGGGAUAGGAAGGAAAAAUGGGCCUGAAGGAAAGGAGGUAAAAGAAGUAGAAUGAGGGUCAACACACUCAGGGAGCACAAGGCAGGAAAGUAGAGAGACCAACUGAGAGAGUGGAGGGCGUACCCUUGUUGAGUCUGGAAGGAAAGAGGAGGAGCUGUGGAGAGGCACCAGGAUAACCCUGUGCUGAAGGGCAAGGUAGAGAGACCCCAGAGUGAGGGUCUAUAAAAAUGUCCUGAUCCCCCCAGCUCCCAGGACAAGGGGAUGGAAGCCAGCGAGAAGCAGAGUGAAGUCCUGAAGCUGAGCGUUGUAAUGUCUCGGUAGACCUGUGGGAAAGCUGGCUGCAGCCUCAGGAUGGAGGUCUGGAAGACAGAAGGUACACAAGGGGCCCCUCUCCAUCCACUCACCAGGGCUUGUUGCUUCUGGGCUUCCUCCUGCCAGAGGCUCCAGAUCUUCACUGCCAUCUGGGUGGGAGGUCAGGUUGGGUCUUGGGGGGUCUGCAGGGAGAGAAAAGCAUUGUCACCCAACCAGGACAUGGAGGACCAUCCAGACACUCAGUGAGAACCUCCUGGCUCUCCUGACUUUUCUAUGCUUUAUCCUGCACGUGGCUCCUGUGUGUGGACGAGGUGCUGCACUGGGCGACUCUGGGGAUGCCUGUCCUGUAGGGUUCCCAGUCCAGUGAUGGAGAGGGAGCCAAACAAUCACAAUCCAGGGUGAUCAAAGCUGUGACAGCUGGGGCUGGGGAUACAAAGGACUUGUGACAGCUCUUUAAUGGGCAGGAUCUGCCAGGUGGAGAGGCACGUACUUCCUUAGCCAUUCAUGAUUUAUUCACUGACCCAUGGGCCACACAUUGCCUGAGGCCUCCAUGGGCCAGGGACAGAAAAUGUCAGGGUCCCAGAGCCCAAGCAGUCCUGAGCCAUACCCUCCACAAGCUUCCCCAAGGAAGGGAACAGAGUCACCAUCCAGGAGGGAUACAGGCCACAGCGGAGAAAACGCCACUGCUGUCUUUGAAGACUGAGAAGCCAUGAGUCAAGCAAUACAGGUGACCUCCAGAAGCUGGCAACGGGCCAGGAAGGACUAUCUACGUGCUGGAGCCUCCAGAAGGAACAUGGUGGCCCUGCCAACACCUCGCCUCCAGCCCAGCCACAUGCAUUUGGAACUCCUGGCCUCCAGGACUGUAACAUAAUAAAAGUGUGCUGGUGGAAGCCACUGUGUUUGUGUUUCAGACCAAUCGGCAAAAGAGGGACAACCCAGCUUCUUCAUGGGGUGACUGGAGGAUUGAACAAGCAAGUCCUAAGAGCUGCUACUCAAUCAUUCAUUAGUUUAGAGCUGUCUGCUGGGCCCUAGAGCAGGUACUGUUCGUUCCAAACACUGGGGACACGCCCUGUCCUCACACAGCUCCCGCUCUGAAUGAUACAAUGGUAGUUAGAACGUGAGGGAGCGACAGACAAGAUGAGUAGGAGAGGAGGUAUGGAGUUCUAACAGGGUCCCAGGUUAAACUUUAAAAAUGUAAGCCCUGAGAGCCGCUUAGGCAGAGGGGAGGGCAACUGGAAGACUUUGAAGUAUCAGCUUGAAGAAUGACUGACUACAAGUAGGAAAGUGGUGAAGACAAGGCUGGGGAGGCAGAUAGGGGCCAGAGCAGGGUUUCCCAGGCUUAGCACUACUGACACUGGCGUGGGCCAAUCCUUGGUUGUGGGGCUGUGCUGUGCACUGUAGGAUGUGUGGCAGCCUCCCUUGGUUCCACCAGCUAGAUGCUAGCGGCACGCUGCGCUGGCCCAAGGAGUAACAAUCAAAAAUGUCUCCACACAUUGCCAAUGUCUCCUCGGCCAGCUGAGAACUGCUGGGCUAGGUCAUGCUGAUUCUGAGGAGCCCAGGAGCCAGGACUUCACCCUGUGGGUGGUAGAGAGCAUGGGUGAUCACCAAGCAGGGCAGUGAGUAGGCCCCUGGGGACAGGCAACACUCACCCAGCAGGAAGAGGUCCUGGCAAUUGUCCAACGCUGUGUCCCAGAACGUGUCCCCCUGUUCCAGCCCGAGCUGCUCCCAGUCUCCCAAGGUGAAGUCCAUGCCGACAUCCUUGAGGGUCACAAAUUCCUGAAACACAGUACACUAUUGGUCACUCAGAGGCUGGGGUCAGGGAGGAGCCCAACAGCUCACUCAGGGCACUCCCAGCCCUCAAUCUGCCAGGGCUUUGGCAAAAACCAUCCCAUCCUCAGCCUCACAAGAAUCUUGAGAUGUAAGAGACUGGAAACCCCUGUAUUUUGUAGGCAAAGAAAAGGACCUUGACUUUGACCAGGGGACAGGAUGUCAACCGAAGUUAACACAGGUGGGACUGAACCCAGGUCUGCCUGAUCCUAAAAAUCUAUUUUACGCUUUUGCUUUAAGUGUUCAUUCAAGACUUAUUUUGUAAACUUUCAAACAUACAUACAAGUAGAGAUGUAUAUAAUUAACACCCAUGAACUCAUCACCCAGGGGUCAUCUGAUUUCACCUGUGAAUACUUCAGUAUGAACAGUAACUCCUUAAUCACUGAACACCUAGACCACAUUCAAAAUCUGUAUACAGAUUAGUCUGACAUCUCAGUGGUGUGUCUUUAUAGCUAGCUCGUCUCAAUCAGAAUCCAGGGGGCCCAUACCCUGUAACUGAUGUG